CACGCGCACUAUAAUUUUGGAUGAACUGUUCGUCCACUAUAAUCAUGAUGUGUUCAUUUGGUGUUAAGCUCUUGCUCUAAACUCACAUGCUCUAAUUAGUGGUCUAUAUACAGAACAACACCUUUUUGUUUUGGCUAAUCUCUCAAAUCUCCAUAAACAUAUGUUGUCCCAGUAUGCCUAAUUUUAUAUUCAGAGGUAGCAUUGAUCUACUUGCGUCCCUUCAAAAGACCAUAUGUGUUGCUUUGUUUUACUUCUCUUUCGUAUCCAGUUAUUUAGGUCUGGCACUUAAAUACGAUUAGGUGUAAUGUAAAGCAUUUGCUUCAUUUGCUUGACAGAGGUACCAAUUGCUGGAUCGUUUAUGUUGCUAUCUAUUGCAACAAUGUAUCCAUGAACUGGGACACCUGUGAAUUGUUUGAUACGCCUUUUACGUGUUUGCUUUUGUUCUUGACAAAGGUGCUUGUGCAAUUUUUCCAUGAACUGGGACACCUGUGCCUCUUGCAUCCUCUCGUGUGCAAUUUUUCAAUUCUGAAAUAGUACAUUUAAUUGAAGGCUAGAAAAGAUUUAGUUCUUAUAUCAGGAGUCACUACAAUCGCCUAUUUAUUGGAACAUUUUCCCAGUUGUUUCACUUAGGAAUUAUGACUUGAUUUAGAUUUAUUUUCUUCAAACUUGCACCAAUCAAUAUUUCUAGCUCUUCGCGUUGUCCAAUCAACAUUUUCUGCUUUGGUGAAACUUAAGCAGUAAACUCAUGGCUACACUCUCUCUAAUGGUGAAACCACUUCUUAUGUAACGACCACUCUUGUGUGCUAAGCUGAUACUUGACACAUGCAAUACGAAUCACAUGCUUGCCAUUAUUUUUUAUACAGGCUUGACAUGGUUUUGCCUAUAUUUUUCGAUGUGGUACUUCUUAUGUGAAGGUCUAAUUCGUUAUUCUUUUAUUCAAUGACAGUAUUAUCAUGUUUCUGAUUAUGUUGCUUGUGUACUGUGUUUUAUACUCGGUUGCCUAUUGUUGUUAUGCUAUGCUCUGAUAUAUGGUUACGUGGUUCUUGCUUAUUUGUCCAGCGUGUGUGUAUGACGUUGUUGGGUUGUUGACAUGGCGUGUGGUCCGGUUUCUGCUCAUGCUCAAGCCACGCCCGAGGCUUAUGUUGGGUUGCUAGGUGGCCGUGGGCGUGGUCGUGGGCGGUCUGCUGGUCGUCGUGGACGAGCCACUGGCCGUGGAGGCUCUAAUAUAGGGCGUGCCCCUGUUUCUGAUCAUGUCGCUGCUGGUGGGGCUGAGCCUCUUGACAGGCGUAGGGGCGUGAGUCGGCGGGUGCCUACUGCUGGAGCUGAGCCUAUCGCCAGGUGUGGGCGUGGCGCUCGACAUGUGCCUGCCGCUGGGCGUGGCGCCCUACCUUGGCUAAGUGGUAGGGGUGUUCGUGGCCGUGUCCCUGGUCAUGGUGCUGAUUCUGGGCAUGCAGUCGCUACUGCACAUGUGUCUGUCCCUGGUCGUGCUGCUGAUCCUGGGCACGACGCCACUUUUGUGCAUGUGCCUGUCCCUGCUCGUGCUGCUGGUCCUGGGUGUGCCGCCGUUCCUAGGCGUGCGUCGGCCCCUGGGAUUGCUAGACGUUACAUGAUGCAUUGCUCGCAGUCGGUGUCAUGCUUGUGUGUCUGCUAUAAUGCCUCUGCUACAACAUGACAUGUGUUAAUGUAGUGUUUAUUAAGGUUUGGUCAGCAUGCUGAAUAAGUCCUAGGUUUAUCCGUGUGUGGCAGAUCCUGAGAGUUCUGUCAGGACAGGGUGAGACACUGAGGCAAAAGGCAAAUUUAUCUUCUGAUAUUAUGAGUCUUGGGGAUUAUAAGUGUCAUUCAACUAUCACUCUCAUGAGAAAGACGGGUUGGCACUUACUGAUGCAACAACCAAUGCAAACAGGUUUGAACCGUCCGUGCCUACUGUUGCCCCAACAACUAUGGGCAAGAAAGGUCUGGAAGAAGCAAAACCCUUUACUAGGAACAACGACGUCUUUUGGUGACCUAAGCCUUUUAGAAACAAGUUUUGUAAAUGGAUGUUUUUUUAGGGUUUAGGGUUUAGGGGGUGGAGUUUACAUACUAAGUGUAUGUUUGAUUUGUGCCUAUAUGUGCCGUGCCAAAAUUUUGCCAGCCUAAUAUCUUGGCCAUCAUUUGGUUGGUUGCCUAUGAAAAGUAGCCCACACCACCUCACAUUCCCUACACAACUCCCAAGGGCCAAGGAAUCUCUACCUAAUUUUUUGCCUAGCCUUGUUGGCAAAAAUUGGUAGGGUGUGAUAUGGCACAAACCAAACAUUAACCUAAUAGUCUUUAAAAUAACCCAGAUCUGGUAUUUCUGCUAUCUCAUAGGAUUUGUGUACUUGAACCUUCCUUCUGCUUAUAGGUUUGCAGAACAGCUUAUUAUAACUACAUGCAAGAUUCUUAACUUUUCUUCUCAUUUUUCAAUGUGCUCAGCUGCUUAUUAUUGUAGCAUUUAGCAUUUUCAAAUGUUUAGAAUUCAGUUGGUCCUCUAAACUGGGAUGUUGAUAUUCAUCAUUGGUGACUGCAACUCUACAAGUCUGGAACUACUUAACUUGAAAACUGCAUGGGAUAAUUUGAUACAUUCGGAGAAGAUGCUACGUAGCGUCAGCAUUAUUAUGCUAUAUGCCUUUUUAGCUUAACAUUCUAAAUUUUUAUCAGAAAAUGUGCCCCCUGUUGCACUAAAUAACGAUAGAGUUGUGGAGAUACAAGGCGAGCCUCUUGGUGUCCACAAAGCAGUGGAGUUGAUAGCAAGUCACUUGAGAAAGUUUCUUGUUGACCACAGCGUUUUCCCACUAUUUGAACAACAAGAAUGUAAUUAUCUCCAGGUCCUUUGCCGCCACCUGCUCAUGGCCGUCAUCGUCCCUUUGUUGUAUUUGAAGCAUUGGCAUCUCUAGCCCAGCCGUGCAAGCAGAAAGCGGAGCAGGAGCAGCUCGGGGACGAAGCCAAGGUCUAAAAUGCCGAAUCUCCCAAUAAAGUGGAUGACAAAGUUGUGAACUAAGCAGCAAAAUGAGGCCAAGAGCAUGAUGGCGUCAUCGCUAUCGCCCCCUUCAGCGUCCAGGAACCAGGCAAAACGCCAUUGUCAAUGUGAGGGGCGAUGAGCGAAUGGGCAGCGGCAUCACGCACAAUGGCAUGACAAUCAGAUCGGCGACGUGAUCAAUGCGGUGGACAAUGCCAACGAUCAGUUCAUUAUUGUCGAUCGUUGUGUGGGAUUCUAUGUCAAUCUUUUUCUGUAAACUUUUGUUUUGUUGACUCCAAUAAUUUAAGAAAGUGUGAAAUUUUGUAUCUUCUGUAAGUAAAUGUCAGUGCCAAGGCGUCUUUUGUAUAUCUCAUGUAAUUCUCAGAAGGUUGCAAAUGAACUUAUUAUUUUGUGUUAUUGUAAACCUUAAAGUUUCGGUGCAUUAUAUAUGUUAAAUAUUACGUAUAUGAAAUGCAUCAAUGGAAUGUACUGAUCUUCAUGACUUCUA